UCUACUCUAAAUUAAAAAAAGUUGAAGUUAACAGAAAAUUCUCGUAUAGAAGAAAGGGCUGACAAUCCGAAAUCCCCCGUUGCAAGAGGCAUUAAAAUUAUUGCUUUGUCAGAAGAAGACUGACAAAGAAUUUACGAGCCCUGGAAGAAUACUAUCAUAGUGAAGCUAGUGGCGCUAUUUAUGAGUCGGGUUGUUUGGGAAUGCAGCCCAAAUCGGGCGGUAAAUUCCGUCCAAGGCUAAAUAUGGGCAAGAGACCGAUAGCGAACAAGUACCGCGCGGGAAAGAUUAAAAGAACUUUGAAAAGAGAGUCAAAGAGUACUUAAAAUUCUCGGGAGGGAAGCGGAUGGGGGCCGGCGAAGCGCCCCGGUCGAAUGUGGAACGGUGUUGAGCCGGUACGCCGAUCGACUCGGGGCGUAGACCAGCGUGGAUUGAGGGGCGGCCAAAGCCCGGGUUUUUGACACGCUCGUGGAAUGUCGUCUCCUUGAUUGUGGUAGGCAGCGCACGCCUCUGGCGUGCUUUGGCAUCUGCGCACUCUGGACGCUGGCUUGUGGGCUCCCUAUUCGACCCGUUUUGAAAUACAG
rnacentral:ncRNA from 1 species